rnacentral:rRNA from 1 species
UACGGGGGGGGCAAGCGUUGUUCGGAAUUACUGGGCGUAAAGGGCUCGUAGGCGGCCAACUAAGUCAUACGUGAAAUCCCCCGGCUUAACCGGGGAACUGCGUCUGAUACUGGAUGGCUUGAGUUCGGGAGAGGGAUGCGGAAUUCCAGGUGUAGCGGUGAAAUGCGUAGAGAUGUGGAGGAACACCUGUGGCGAAGGCGCCUUGCUGGCCAAUUUCUGACGCUGAGGCGCGAAAGCGUGGGGAGCAAACAGG